GUGCUCGCUUUGGCAGCACAUAUGCUAAACUUGAAUGAUACAGAGAAGAUUAGCACCUGCUCAAGGAUGACAUGCUAAUUCGUGAAGCAUUCCAUGUUUUU
rnacentral:snRNA from 1 species